rnacentral:rRNA from 1 species
AUUCCAGCUCCAAUAGCGUAUAUUAAAGUUGUUGCAGUUAAAAAGCUCGUAGUUGGACUUCUGGGCCGUUUUGUUGGUCUGCCGCAAGGCUGCACUAGCGGGAUGGCCCAUCCUCUCGAAGGCUGGGGGUGCUCUUAACUGGGUGCUUUCAGAACUCGGGAUCUUUACUUUGAAAAAAUUAGAGUGUUCAAAGCAGGCUUACGCUUGAAUACAUUAGCAUGGAAUAAUGGAAUAGGACUUUGGUUCUAUUUUGUUGGUUUCUAGAACUGAAGUAAUGAUUAAUAGGGAUAGUUGGGGGCAUUAGUAUUUAAUUGUCAGAGGUGAAAUUCUUGGAUUUAUGAAAGACUAACUUCUGCGAAAGCAUUUGCCAAGGAUGUUUUCAUCA